rnacentral:rRNA from 1 species
UACAGAGGGUGCGAGCGUUAAUCGGAAUUACUGGGCGUAAAGCGCGCGUAGGCGGCUUUGCAAGUCGAGUGUGAAAUCCCCAGGCUUAACCUGGGAACUGCAUUCGAGACUGCAUAGCUAGAGUAUGGGAGAGGGAAGUGGAAUUUCAGGUGUAGCGGUGAGAUGCGUAGAUAUCUGAAGGAACAUCAGUGGCGAAAGCGACUUCCUGGACCAAUACUGAUGCUCAUGUGCGAAAGCGUGGGGAGCAAACAGG